GGGAGUAAAAGUCGUAACAAGGUCUCCGUAGGUGAACCUACGGAGGGAUCAUUACAGAGUUCAUGCCCUACCGGGUAGAUCUCCCACCCUAUGUUAUUAUUACUUUGUUGCUUUGGCGGGCCGUUAGGCUCCGGCCCGACUACCGGCCCCGGCUGGUAAGCGCCCGCCAGAGGACCCAAAACCCUGAAUAUUAGUGUCGUCUGAGUACUAUAUAAUAGUUAAAACUUUCAACAACGGAUCUCUUGGUUCUG
rnacentral:misc_RNA from 1 species